AACGAACGCUGGCGGCAUGCCUAACACAUGCAAGUCGAACGACACCUUCGGGUCUAGUGGCGCACGGGUGCGUAAGGCGUGGGAAGCUGCCCGUAGGUUCGGAAUAACUCCCCGAAAGGGGUGCUAAUACCGGUUAAGGUCAUCGGACCAAGGAGUUAUUGCCUUUGGAUGGGCCGGGGUAGGUUUCGGCGGUUGGGGAUGGAAACGCUGCCUAUGCGCUUGUUGGUGGGGUAGUGGCUUACCAUGUCUGUGACGGGUAGCCGGCCUGAGAGGGUGACCGGCCACACUGGGACUGAGAUACGGCCCAGACGCCUACGGGAGGCAGCAGUGGGGAAUAUUGUACAAUGGGCGGAAGCCUGAUGCAGCAACGCCGCGUGCGGGAUGACGGCCUUCGGUUUGUAAACCGCUUUCGUCUGUGACGAAGCGUGAGUGACGGUAAUGGGUAAAGAAGCACCGGCUAACUACGUG
rnacentral:rRNA from 1 species